GUGGGGAAUAUUGGACAAUGGGCGAAAGCCUGAUCCAGCCAUGCCGCGUGUGUGAAGAAGGUCUUCGGAUUGUAAAGCACUUUAAGUUGGGAGGAAGGGCAGUAAGUUAAUACCUUGCUGUUUUGACGUUACCGACAGAAUAAGCACCGGCUAACUUCGUGCCAGCAGCCGCGGUAAUACGAAGGGUGCAAGCGUUAAUCGGAAUUACUGGGCGUAAAGCGCGCGUAGGCGGUUUUGUAAGUUGGAGGUGAAAUCCCCGGGCUCAACCUGGGAACUGCCUCCAAAACUGCAUGACUAGAGUACGGUAGAGGGUAGUGGAAUUUCCUGUGUAGCGGUGAAAUGCGUAGAUAUAGGAAGGAACACCAGUGGCGAAGGCGACUACCUGGACUGAUACUGACACUGAGGUGCGAAAGCGUGGGGAGCAAACAGGAUUAGAAACCCUAGUAGUCC
rnacentral:rRNA from 1 species